UCGGUGACCCCAAUAAACACUUCAUCUAAGGAAAGUUGUUUCACUUGCUCUCUAAGGGAGGGCUGCACACCAAAGAAGACAUGAUGGCUGAUCGUGAACAGCAAAUUCAAGCUCUCAGCUUGCUGAUCCAGUUACCAUGCCUGACUGCUGCCAUAC